UCUGACUUCCCUAAGCUAGUAGUCCUUGUCUUCCCUAUCAAGGCCUCGGGUUUCAUUGAGAAAUAUACCAAGAAGUUUAUAUUUCUAGAACAAAUUUUUGUAAAUUUUUUAAAGGACAACAACACCUAUGACUAAGAUGAUCGGAAAGGGAAAACGACGAGGACUGCGGCGCAAAGCAGAAACGACCGUCCGGGCUAUGAUCAUUGUUGAGGAUCAAAUGUAUCCUGGCUUAAUAAUGGCGGCCCAAAGCCGCCUGUUUGCCCUACACUGCCUGGCCGAGGUGCGUUUUGUGGAGCUCUCCUAGAUAUCCAAAUAUGAAAUCCAUAUAUUCUCUGUUGUGCACAUAACGACAUAUAAAUAGUCUCGCUUGCGGCUAAA